rnacentral:lncRNA from 1 species
UCUUUAUAAAGAAUUAAUUUAGUGAUACAUAAUGAGUUAUACUUAAGGGUGUAUACCUCCUCACAUGAGGUGUAGAGUCCACCCGAAUAAGUAGAUACAUUUCUAUGUACCACUAGCACCACAUCUUUAUAAAAUCCCAGUCCAAUCCAACACAACCCAGCAAUACCGCCAACACUACCAGAACCCCUACAACCUCAUCACCACCUAUAUCACCGAUUAAAAGAAGGAUCCAAGGGGGCCAAUGAGUCGGCUCAACAACAGUACCGCUUGAUGUCAUUUUGAAACGAUGAUUCACUGUUCAGAUGUGAACUUAUCAGUUGAAUUCUCAUCGGAAAAGGCAUUUUCUAAAAUGCUAUGCUUUUACUAUCAAUUGAAUUUUCAGAGAUCUUAAACACUACUACUGUACUAACUUUGCUUACAAACAAUCAAAAUCAAAACUAUCCAAAAAAUGGAGAAAUACCCUAAAAAUAAUAAAAAUAAAAAUAAAAAAGCUUUCCAAGGCACAAAUUUUCAAUGUUAACACCGAAACCCUAUUCAUAGAAUUUCCCAAAAUCAAAGCUUCAUUUCCCAAACAAUCACAAGAAAAUCCCCCAAAUAUUUCACACUAACUACGAAUAAAAAUAAUAUUUUCCGUUAGAAACAUAAGGAUGAUGAUUAGGGAAAUAGCAUCGCAUUUGUGAGGUAAGGCACCAAAUUUUUCAUUCUUAGCGCUGAGACAUAUAGAUAAGGAAGAGUUGAGAGGGUAGAGAGAGAAAAAGAGUGAAAAAGAG